rnacentral:rRNA from 1 species
UACGUAGGGGGCAAGCGUUGUCCGGAAUCAUUGGGCGUAAAGAGCGUGUAGGCGGCCCGGUAAGUCCGUUGUGAAAGUCGAGGGCUCAACCCUCGAAUGCCGGCGGAUACUGUCGGGCUAGAGUCCGGAAGAGGCGAGUGGAAUUCCUGGUGUAGCGGUGAAAUGCGCAGAUAUCAGGAGGAACACCGAUGGCGAAGGCAGCUCGCUGGGACGGUACUGACGCUGAGACGCGAAAGCGUGGGGAGCAAACAGG